rnacentral:rRNA from 1 species
UAGUCCACGCUGUAAACGAUGUCGAUUUGGAGGUUGUGCCCUUGAGGCGUGGCUUCCGGAGCUAACGCGUUAAAUCGACCGCCUGGGGAGUACGGCCGCAAGGUUAAAACUCAAAUGAAUUGACGGGGGCCCGCACAAGCGGUGGAGCAUGUGGUUUAAUUCGAUGCAACGCGAAGAACCUUACCUACUCUUGACAUCCAGAGAACUUUCCAGAGAUGGAUUGGUGCCUUCGGGAACUCUGAGACAGGUGCUGCAUGGCUGUCGUCAGCUCGUGUUGUGAAAUGUUGGGUUAAGUCCCGCAACGAGCGCAACCCUUAUCCUUUGUUGCCAGCGGUUCGGCCGGGAACUCAAAGGAGACUGCCAGUGAUAAACUGGAGGAAGGUGGGGAUGACGUCAAGUCAUCAUGGCCCUUACGAGUAGGGCUACACACGUGCUACAAUGGCAUAUACAAAGAGAAGCGACCUCGCGAGAGCAAGCGGACCUCAUAAAGUAUGUCGUAGUCCGGAUUGGAGUCUGCAACUCGACUCCAUGAAGUCGGAAUCGCUAGUAAUCGUAGAUCAGAAUGCUACGGUGAAUACGUUCCCGGGCCUUGUACACACCGCCCGUCACACCAUGGGGAGUGGGUUGCAAAAGAAGUAGGUAGCUUAACCUUCGGGAGGGCGCUUACCACUUUGUGAUUC